CGAAGGGUGCAAGCGUUACUCGGAAUUACUGGGCGUAGAGCGUGCGUAGGUGGUGAGUUAAGUCUGUCGUGAAAGCCCCGGGCUCAACCUGGGAAUGGCGAUGGAUACUGGCUCGCUAGAGUGCGGUAGAGGGUGGUGGAAUUCCCGGUGUAGCAGUGAAAUGCGUAGAGAUCGGGAGGAACAUCAGUUGCGAAGGCGGCCACCUGGACCAGCACUGACACUGAGGCACGAAAGCGUGGGGAGCAAACAGGAUUAGAUACCCUGGUAGUCCACGCCCUAAACGAUGCGAACUGGACGUUGGGAGCAACUAGGCUCUUAGUGUCGAAGCUAAACGCGUUAAAGUUCGCCGCCUGGGGAGUACGGUCGCAAGACUG
rnacentral:rRNA from 1 species